rnacentral:rRNA from 1 species
UACGUAGGGUGCAAGCGUUUAAUCGGAAUUACUGGGCGUAAAGCGUGCGCAGGCGGUUAUGUAAGACAGGUGUGAAAUCCCCGGGCUUAACCUGGGAACUGCAUUUGUGACUGCAUAGCUAGAGUACGGUAGAGGGGGAUGGAAUUCCGCGUGUAGCAGUGAAAUGCGUAGAUAUGCGGAGGAACACCGAUGGCGAAGGCAAUCCCCGUGGACCUGUACUGACGCUCAUG